AUUGAACGCUGGCGGCAGGCCUAACACAUGCAAGUCGAGCGGAGCGGCGGACGGGUGAGUAAUGCCUAUGAAUCUGCCUGUUAGUGGUGGAUAACGUCCGGAAACGGGCGCUAAUACCGCAUACUCUCAGCUGAGCCUAGGCCGGAUUAGCUAUUGGGUGGGGUAAAGGCCUACCAAGGCGACGAUCCCUAACUGGUCUGAGAGGAUGAUCAGUCACACUGGAACUGAGACACGGUCCAGACUCCUACGGGAGGCAGCAGUGGGGAAUAUUGGACAAUGGGCGAAAGCCUGAUCCAGCCAUGCCGCGUGUAUGAAGAAGGUCUUCGGAUUGUAAAGCACUUUAAGUUGGGAGGCGUUACCAGCAGAAUAAGCACCGGCUAACUUCGUGCCAGCAGCCGCGGUAAUUC
rnacentral:rRNA from 1 species